UACGAAGGGCCCGGGUGUUACUCGUUUUGAUUGGGUGUAAAGGGUAAGUAGGCGGCUCACCGUUAAUCCUGGGCCAAAGCGCGGAGAGUUCCUACGCGAAAGUCCGGGAUGCUGGGUGUUUGGCUAGUGUUGAUUUGAGGUUGAGGCAAAUUCGUAGGUAGGAAUCAAAUGUGACGAUGUACGAAUGAACGCCGGCUGGCAAAGGCGCUUUUCCGCUUUCAACAGACGCUGAGGUACGGAGCGCAGGGAGCAAACGGG
rnacentral:rRNA from 1 species